rnacentral:rRNA from 1 species
CCUACGUGAGGCAGCAGUGGGGAAUAUUGGGCAAUGGGCGCAAGCCUGACCCAGCAACGCCGCGUGAAGGAAGAAGGCUUUCGGGUUGUAAACUUCUUUUGACAGGGAAGAGCAGAAGACGGUACCUGUCGAAUAAGCCACGGCUAACUACGUGCCAGCAGCCGCGGUAAUACGUAGGUGGCAAGCGUUGUCCGGAUUUACGGGGGGUAAAGGGCGUGUAGCCGGGCUGACAAGUCGGAUGUGAAAUCUGGGGGCCCAACCCCCGAACUGCAUUUGAAACUGUUGGUCUGGAGUAUCGGAGAGGCAGGCGGAAUUCCUAGUGUAGCGGUGAAAUGCGUAGAUAUUAGGAGGAACACCAGUGGCGAAGGCGGCCUGCUGGACGACAACUGACGGUGAGGCGCGAAAGCGUGGGGAGCAAACAGGAUUAGAUACCCUUGUAGUC